GGUUAAGCGACUAAGCGUACACGGUGGAUGCCCUGGCAGUCAGAGGCGAUGAAGGACGUGCUAAUCUGCGAUAAGCGUCGGUAAGGUGAUAUGAACCGUUAUAACCGGCGAUUUCCGAAUGGGGAAACCCAGUGUGAUUCGUCACACUAUCAUUAACUGAAUCCAUAGGUUAAUGAGGCGAACCGGGGGAACUGAAACAUCUAAGUACCCCGAGGAAAAGAAAUCAACCGAGAUUCCCCCAGUAGCGGCGAGCGAACGGGGAGCAGCCCAGAGCCUGAAUCAGUGUGUGUGUUAGUGGAAGCGUCUGGAAAGGCGUGCGAUACAGGGUGACAGCCCCGUACACAAAAAUGCACAUACUGUGAGCUCGAUGAGUAGGGCGGGACACGUGGUAUCCUGUCUGAAUAUGGGGGGACCAUCCUCCAAGGCUAAAUACUCCUGACUGACCGAUAGUGAACCAGUACCGUGAGGGAAAGGCGAAAAGAACCCCGGCGAGGGGAGUGAAAAAGAACCUGAAACCGUGUACGUACAAGCAGUGGGAGCACGCUUAGGCGUGUGACUGCGUACCUUUUGUAUAAUGGGUCAGCGACUUAUAUUCUGUAGCAAGGUUAACCGAAUAGGGGAGCCGAAGGGAAACCGAGUCUUAACUGGGCGUUAAGUUGCAGGGUAUAGACCCGAAACCCGGUGAUCUAGCCAUGGGCAGGUUGAAGGUUGGGUAACACUAACUGGAGGACCGAACCGACUAAUGUUGAAAAAUUAGCGGAUGACUUGUGGCUGGGGGUGAAAGGCCAAUCAAACCGGGAGAUAGCUGGUUCUCCCCGAAAGCUAUUUAGGUAGCGCCUCGUGAAUUCAUCUCCGGGGGUAGAGCACUGUUUCGGCAAGGGGGUCAUCCCGACUUACCAACCCGAUGCAAACUGCGAAUACCGGAGAAUGUUAUCACGGGAGACACACGGCGGGUGCUAACGUCCGUCGUGAAGAGGGAAACAACCCAGACCGCCAGCUAAGGUCCCAAAGUCAUGGUUAAGUGGGAAACGAUGUGGGAAGGCCCAGACAGCCAGGAUGUUGGCUUAGAAGCAGCCAUCAUUUAAAGAAAGCGUAAUAGCUCACUGGUCGAGUCGGCCUGCGCGGAAGAUGUAACGGGGCUAAACCAUGCACCGAAGCUGCGGCAGCGACGCUUAUGCGUUGUUGGGUAGGGGAGCGUUCUGUAAGCCUGUGAAGGUGUGCUGUGAGGUAUGCUGGAGGUAUCAGAAGUGCGAAUGCUGACAUAAGUAACGAUAAAGCGGGUGAAAAGCCCGCUCGCCGGAAGACCAAGGGUUCCUGUCCAACGUUAAUCGGGGCAGGGUGAGUCGACCCCUAAGGCGAGGCCGAAAGGCGUAGUCGAUGGGAAACAGGUUAAUAUUCCUGUACUUGGUGUUACUGCGAAGGGGGGACGGAGAAGGCUAUGUUGGCCGGGCGACGGUUGUCCCGGUUUAAGCGUGUAGGCUGGUUUUCCAGGCAAAUCCGGAAAAUCAAGGCCGAGGCGUGAUGACGAGGCACUACGGUGCUGAAGCAACAAAUGCCCUGCUUCCAGGAAAAGCCUCUAAGCAUCAGGUAACAUCAAAUCGUACCCCAAACCGACACAGGUGGUCAGGUAGAGAAUACCAAGGCGCUUGAGAGAACUCGGGUGAAGGAACUAGGCAAAAUGGUGCCGUAACUUCGGGAGAAGGCACGCUGAUACGUAGGUGAAGCGACUUGCUCGUGGAGCUGAAAUCAGUCGAAGAUACCAGCUGGCUGCAACUGUUUAUUAAAAACACAGCACUGUGCAAACACGAAAGUGGACGUAUACGGUGUGACGCCUGCCCGGUGCCGGAAGGUUAAUUGAUGGGGUUAGCGCAAGCGAAGCUCUUGAUCGAAGCCCCGGUAAACGGCGGCCGUAACUAUAACGGUCCUAAGGUAGCGAAAUUCCUUGUCGGGUAAGUUCCGACCUGCACGAAUGGCGUAAUGAUGGCCAGGCUGUCUCCACCCGAGACUCAGUGAAAUUGAACUCGCUGUGAAGAUGCAGUGUACCCGCGGCAAGACGGAAAGACCCCGUGAACCUUUACUAUAGCUUGACACUGAACAUUGAGCCUUGAUGUGUAGGAUAGGUGGGAGGCUUUGAAGUGUGGACGCCAGUCUGCAUGGAGCCGACCUUGAAAUACCACCCUUUAAUGUUUGAUGUUCUAACGUGGACCCGUGAUCCGGGUUGCGGACAGUGUCUGGUGGGUAGUUUGACUGGGGCGGUCUCCUCCUAAAGAGUAACGGAGGAGCACGAAGGUUGGCUAAUCCUGGUCGGACAUCAGGAGGUUAGUGCAAUGGCAUAAGCCAGCUUGACUGCGAGCGUGACGGCGCGAGCAGGUGCGAAAGCAGGUCAUAGUGAUCCGGUGGUUCUGAAUGGAAGGGCCAUCGCUCAACGGAUAAAAGGUACUCCGGGGAUAACAGGCUGAUACCGCCCAAGAGUUCAUAUCGACGGCGGUGUUUGGCACCUCGAUGUCGGCUCAUCACAUCCUGGGGCUGAAGUAGGUCCCAAGGGUAUGGCUGUUCGCCAUUUAAAGUGGUACGCGAGCUGGGUUUAGAACGUCGUGAGACAGUUCGGUCCCUAUCUGCCGUGGGCGCUGGAGAACUGAGGGGGGCUGCUCCUAGUACGAGAGGACCGGAGUGGACGCAUCACUGGUGUUCGGGUUGUCAUGCCAAUGGCACUGCCCGGUAGCUAAAUGCGGAAGAGAUAAGUGCUGAAAGCAUCUAAGCACGAAACUUGCCCCGAGAUGAGUUCUCCCUGACCCUUUAAGGGUCCUGAAGGAACGUUGAAG
rnacentral:rRNA from 1 species